rfam:Photobacterium gaetbulicola Gung47 chromosome 2, complete sequence.
CCCCGCAACGGUGAGCAAGGCCAAGUUUUUCGCCCUCAGGCAUUUGGCCGACCGCACAGUUGCGAUGUUGUGUUUGCAUAUUGUCCGGGUUAUGCCGGAUAGGUAGUCAAUCUACCAAUUUUACUUCCUGUAUUUUUGACCUGUCUGUCAAAAUUAAUUCUUGGCACUGCGCCCCAACGCAGUGCUUUUUUUU